rnacentral:rRNA from 1 species
CCUACGGGGGGCAGCAGUGGGGAAUAUUGGACAAUGGGGGCAACCCUGAUCCAGCCAUGCCGCGUGUGUGAAGAAGGCCCUCGGGUUGUAAAGCACUUUCAGUGAGGAAGAACGCCUGGUGGUUAAUACCCAUCAGGAAAGACAUCACUCACAGAAGAAGCACCGGCUAACUCCGUGCCAGCAGCCGCGGUAAUACGGAGGGUGCGAGCGUUAAUCGGAAUUACUGGGCGUAAAGCGCGCGUAGGUGGCUUGAUAAGCCGGUUGUGAAAGCCCCGGGCUCAACCUGGGAACGGCAUCCAGAACUGUCAAGCUAGAGUGCAGGAGAGGAAGGUAGAAUUCCCGGUGUAGCGGUGAAAUGCGUAGAGAUCGGGAGGAAUACCAGUGGCGAAGGCGGCCUUCUGGACUGACACUGACACUGAGGUGCGAAAGCGUGGGUAGCAAACAGGAUUAGAUACCCUUGUAGUC